AGCUGCGUGGUUGUGUUUCUGGGAUGCUGUCGCCGCUUGGACCCGCACGUCCUCAGCGUGCCCCUGUGCUGAGCACAGGCGAAGUCUGAGGCCGGAGCUCUGCAAAGUCAGUCCUCUGGGCCUGGAAAUCUGCUCUGGCUUUUGUCUGCUUCCUCCCGAUUUCAUCCACAGGAGACAAGAGCUUCUACAAACUGUCAGGGACCCCAUCUUCCAACUCUGCUCAAAGCUAGAGAACAGCGAACCACGAAACAAGACUGACUAAGGUCACAUGGGGGUCGGGAGUGAAGUGCUAACCGUGAAUUUCACCUGGAAAUCUCCCCCAAAGAACUGAUCUCAGGACCAUACUGGUCUUCCACUGUCCACAGAGAACUGAUCUCAAGACUCCUGAAAUUUGUGGAUACUCAAGUCCCCAUACACUACUCAGAUAUAAAGAAAGAAAGAUAAACUCGAGGCUUUUAUAGACCACCCCCGAUGACCUGUAAUACCGAAGACACCGCAGAGGCUGGCAAGUGCUCGUCACCCUGCAUUGCUUAGGGAACAAGGACAAGAAAAGUCUGUACACAUUUUUCCCCAAAUACCCUUGACUCUCCACCGAUGGGUCUGUGGAUCUGGGACCCAGGGACACCGAGGGUGACCGUCAGAAGCUCACCGGCCACAGCGUUCUGGCCCUGGAGGACACUUGCUCGCUCCAACAUGAAAGGCUGCAUUAGGAGGCCUCAGAGGAUGGAAGGUGCUUUCAGUUUACUGUGUUCAGACAUUUGUCUUCAAGGAGACGUUAAUAACAUAGGUUCUUCCCACCUCUAGAAGAAGUUUGAAAGGCUUAGUAGGAAACAGAAAAUA